CCUACGGGUGACAGCAGUGAGGAAUAUUGGUCAAUGGACGAGAGUCUGAACCAGCCAAGUAGCGUGAAGGAUGACUGCCCUACGGGUUGUAAACUUCUUUUAUAAAGGAAUAAAACGAGGCACGUGUGCCUUUUUGCAUGUACUUUAUGAAUAAGGAUCGGCUAACUCCGUGCCAGCAGCCGCGGUAAUACGGGGGGUCCGAGCGUUAUCCGGAUUUAUGGGGUUUAAAGGGGGCGUAGCUGGGUUGUUAAGUCCGUUGUGAAAGUUUGCGGCUAAACCGUAAAAUUGCAAUUGAUACUGGCAGUCUUGAUUACAGUUGAGUUAGGCGGAAUUCGUGGUGUAGCGGU
rnacentral:rRNA from 1 species